UUUCUCUCCAAUUUUUCCUUUUCCCAUAUGAGCAGAGCCUGGAAGUGCACAGACACAUUAGGGAAUGUUUCCACUGUGUGGGAGAAACAUCUGCAGAGUACGCCUGGACCACCAGAAGUGGAGUGAGAAAGAAGCAUGUGGGGGCGGAGGCGGCAGACAAUGAAAGGAAAACUGGGAGCUGGUGAGGCCCAAACAUCCAACGGAAUUGCCUAACCUUCAGAGAAAGGUGAAGAGAUGCUGUUUAUGGAAAAUGGAUAAAAAAUGGUGAUACACAACUAGAAGGACCCACAACUAAGAAUAUACAACUAUGUACCGGGGGUCUUUGGG
rnacentral:lncRNA from 1 species